UAUAUAGUGAUGAUUAAAAGGAGUAAGUAAAGUAACUUUAUAUAGAGAGGAAGUGGUUGGUGAAAACUUCCUAAAGUUUGUACUGAAGGCUGUUUAGGAGCUAUGCUGCAGGAGUUGUGAAUACAGUUUUUGUAUUUAAAUUAGGGUGGUACCGCGGAAUAUAACUUUCGUCCCUUUU
rnacentral:ncRNA from 1 species